rnacentral:tRNA from 1 species
GCCGAAGUGGCGGAACUGGUAGACGCACCAGACUCAAAAUCUGGCGGUGGCAACACUGUCCCGGUUCGAUUCCGGGCUUCGGCA